rnacentral:rRNA from 1 species
AUUGAACGCUGGCGGCAGGCCUAACACAUGCAAGUCGAGCGGAGCGGCGGACGGGUGAGUAAUUCCUAGGAAUCUGCCUGGUCGAGGGGGAUAACGUCCGGAUACGGGCGCUAAUACCGCAUCCUAUCAGAUGAGCCUAGAUCGGAUUAGCUAGUUGGUGGGGUAAAGGCCUACCAAGGCGAAGAUCCAUAACUGGUCUGAGAGGAUGAUCAGUCACACUGGAACUGAGAAACGGUCCAGACUCCGACGGGAGGCAGCAGUGGGGAAUAUUGGACAAUGGGCGAAAGCCUGAUCCAGCCAUGCCGCGUGUAUGAAGAAGGUCUUCGGAUUGUAAAGUACUUUCAGUUGGGAGGCGUUACCGACAGAAUAAGCACCGGCUAACUUCGUGCCAGCAGCCGCGGUAAUUC